AUACGUAGGUGACAAGCGUUAUCCGGAUUUACUGGGCGUAAAGGGCGUGUAGGCGGUCUUGCAAGUCGGAAGUGAAAUUCCUGAGCUCAACUCGGGCGCUGCUUCUGAAACUGCUUUACUUGAGUGCUGGAGAGGAUAGUGGAAUUCCUAGUGUAGCGGUAAAAUGCGCAGAUAUUACACAGAACGCCGAUUGUGAAGACACCUCACGAAGCGGUAACUGACGCUGAGGCACGAAAGCGUGGGGAUCGAACAGGAUUAGAUACCCUGGUAGUCCACGCAGUAAACGAUGAUGACUAACCGUCGGCGAUAGACCGCCGGUGGCCAAGCGAAAGCGAUAGGUCAUCCACCUGGGGAGUACGACCGCAAGGUUGAAACUCAAAUGAAUUGGCGGGG
rnacentral:rRNA from 1 species